UGAACGAACAGAUUGUAGAUGACUCAGAGUCAUGAGUUGAUUCUUUGUUUUCUUUUGUGAGGAAAAUGUUUUCUGGGUAAAAUUCAGACUAGCUUGAGAAGUUUCAAACUGAACUGAGGUAUCUUACAGUUGUCUGUCAUAGAGCAAUGUUUACAAAAUGAGAGGUGUACACGGCAUCUUUUGGGUCUCUGUUGGUAAGGGGAUUGAACGAUCCUUUGCUAACUUAUUUCUAAGUGAAAAGUUUUGAACUGACUUGUGGCUAAACAACUGUAAAUUGUUUUUUUGUAAAUAGUAUCUUUUGUGUUUUUCUCAUUUAAUUUCACGACAAAUUUCCCCUUGGGGAUUAAUAAAGUAUCUAUCUAUCUAUCUAUCUAUCUAUCUAAUGUGCCCCAAUUUAGCAGAAUUCAAGAGGGGUGUAUGUAACAUAGUCAAUCUGGUCUGCAUUAAAUCCAGCUAAAAUGGAAUUUACGCCACCUGCUGUGGUUAAGGUGCACUUGCAAUUCAUUAUAAGACGCAAGGGAUUGUGGGGGAUCCCCAGAGUGACUCGGGAUUCCUCCAGAGGUAACGUCUGUCUGAAUGGGUCUGUGGGCUAUAUCGGGGUAAUAGAUGGGAAUAGUGAAUGAAAAGUGAGCUGGCUUUAUUUGUUUGUUUAGUAAUUGUCUUAGAUUGUAUUCGUCAUGUUUUCAUUAGGUUAUGUAUUUGUUUUAUAUGUUUCGUCGCCAGUCAUUAAUGUUUAAUAGUAGCUAACCUAGCUAACACGAACGUGGCUCCGUCUCUCUAGAGCGGAGCACGCGCCGUUGCCCACAGAAGCUGACGACGUCCUCUGUCCCUUUGUGUGAAUGCAGGUAUGUUACAGUGUGUUGUUAAUGAGUGAGUUAUUAUUACUUUGUUAUUUAAUUGUUAGAAAUGUGAAUAAUUAAUUAAGAAAGAAAGACAGUGUAAAUCCACUAUACGAUCACUUUUUGUUUUGUUCACUGUUUUGUAUAUUAUGUGACUAUUUAAAUGGGUAACGAGAGUGACUCGGGAUUCCCCAAGAGAGCGGAGCACGCGCCGUUGCCCACCGACGCUGACAACGUCCUCUGUCCCUUUGUGUAAAUGCAGAGAAUAAACAGUUGCUACCAGCCUGCCCAGCUCCAAGGAGAGUCAUUGAAAAGGAGACAUCUCACAGGGGUUACAUAUGCAUAAAAGAAGCCCGUUCAGGAGGUUAGCAGUCUCAGUCAGGACCGCUUCAGGGCUCCCAUAAUGUCGACCCCGCCAUAACAAGCACCCAACACACAGCCACAGCCACAAGGCAACAGUGAUCCACGGCACCAGGCCCGGACCAGAGACACAACAUUAGGCGUGCCCAGAUCCAACAGCUGACAGCGAACUGUAUCCACUGAACAGAAAUGUGCCACACCCACUGGUCAGCCAAUGAUUCAACUGGAGACUAAAGAGACACUGAACAGGAAGCAAAGCGUCCGGUGGGACAGAGUAGAUGAUGAUGACAUCACACCUGCAUGACAACAGCCAGCAGUGGAGACUUUGGUUCAAAGUCCUGCAUCCCUACUCGCCACCAGGGGACCAAAGACAUUGUGCCCUUAACCCUUGUGUUGCCUUCGGGUCAAUUUGACCCGAUUCAAUGUUUCACCCUCCUGUUACCUUUAUAUUUACUAACAUAUUUUACCCUUGGGGUCAAUAUGACCCCAGCUAUUAAAAUCUCCAGAAAAUUAUUAGAAUUAAUAUUGUUUUCCAAGUUUAAGUGUGAGGUACUUUAUGUUUGUUUGUUGACUCCCGAAAGAACACCGACAUUAAACAUUGAAUCGGGUCAAAUUGACCCGAAGGCGACAGGAGGGUUAAAUAUUGAAUCGGGUCAAAAUGACCCGAAGGCAACACAAGGGUUAAGUACAAAUAAAUGCAGUUCAAUCAGAUGGGGAUGCAGUCGAUGGGCCAGAGGUCCACGCCUCCUCUCCCCAUUGGAGCCUCUGGGAACCCGGUCAAUACUGAACACGCCCACUUUAUCACACAGUUUAGCUUUUAAUGUGCCCAUAAACACAAUUGUAGCUCAACGUGUGAACACACAUACUCCAGGCUACGAAACCCUUCAGCACAUUUACAUGUGUUACACUUUAAUAUAUAUUCAUAAUAUCCAAAUCUUACGCAUUGCCACUCAAAUGAAUUGUUAAAAACAACAUUACAAAAAUGCUGCUUCUACCAGCAAGGGAAAUGUUGCAGAGGCAUAUUUGUGUUAACCCUGUUCCCCUUUGAUACCUCUAGAUGGCAAUGGUCGCUCCCAGGACGAGGAAGCCUCACAUUACCCAGAUGCUGCACCUGUAUCUGUCCCAGGGACAGUUUCCCUGCUCGGGGCCAGGAGUCGGGACCCCUCAGCCUGGGAUGGCCCAACCUGGAGCGCAGGCGGGCAUGGCACAGACGCAGAUGGGCACUCCUCCAGUGGCGAGUUCUGCCGGUGGGCCCAGCGGCGUCUCCUCGGUGGGGCCCAUGGGUCCUCAGAGCGUGGGGAGCGGAGGUCCCAACUCGGCCGUCGGAGCCCCCGCCUCCUCGAUGACUCCGCCCAACUCGAGCCAGCAGCUGCCACGCACUCCGGUUUCGUUUCCAACCGACAGUCAGGCCCAUACUCCAGCCUCUCUGAUGACGGCGAUGGCGAGCAUCAAGUUCGGAGACAGGAAACCGGAGGUGAAGAAGGAGGUGAAGGAGGAAGACGAUUCGUCUGACUCUGCUUCCUCGCAGGCCCCGGUGAAGAAGAUCUUCAAGCCAGAGGAGCUCCGUCAGGCCUUGAUGCCCACACUCAAGUCACUGUACAGGCAAGAUCCAGAGUCUCUGCCGUUCAGGAUGCCCGUGGACCCUCAACUGCUGUGCAUACCGGUACCACUUCUGCAAGAAGUGUUUCAUCGCGAUCCAGGGAGAGACGGUUUCCUUGGGCGACGACCCCACCCAGCAGCAGACAUCGAUAAACAAGGAACAAUUUGAGAGGAAAAAGAAUCACUCACUGGACCCUGAAUUGCUCGUUGAAUGUACUGACUGCGGCCGCCGCAUGCAUCAGAUCUGCGUCCUCCAUCAUGUAACCAUCUGGCCGUCGGGUUUUGUAUGCGACGGCUGCUUGAAGAAGAAGAACAAGACGCGGAAGGAGAACAAGUACUCUGCCAAACAUCGAUAAACAAGGAACAAUUUGAGAGGAAAAAGAAUCACUCACUGGACCCUGAAUUGACCACCACGUCCCCCCCCAGGACCACCACGUCCCCACAGGACCACCACGUCCCCACAAGACCACCACGUCCCCCCCCAGGACCAC